AGAUCGAUCAUCUUGAUAAAACCUCAGUAUAUCAUCAGGAGCAACAGGCCACAUUUUCAGCUAAAAAUCUUCUUUGCUGUUCUGCUGAAGAAAAAUACUCAUGAACAUCUUGGGUGGCGUAAGGAUCUUUGCAGGAUUCAGUCGCAUAUCUCGGAUCUGAGUUCUGCGCAGCACUGGACACAGACUCUGCACUUUUGACAUUUUCUAGAAAAAAGGAUUUUAAAUUUCACAUCAAGUUAAUUAAAAGCCUGUCUCUAUUUUUUCAUAGUCAUCUGAUGUUUCC